AUGGCCAAUGUCUCCUCAGGCAGCAAACAUCAACAUGAGGAUACUGUUGCCAGUCUCUUUCUUCAGGUUGGUAACAUCAGCAUGAAGUCAUAAUGUGUAGUCCACUGGCAGCAUGAGAUCUGAGCAGGGGUAGACAUCAUCCUGAACUGGAAAAAUUACAUAUCCUCCUACUCAGACUAUGGUCCAUUAGUGGGCCAAUCUUUUCCCUAUAACAAUGGAGCGCCAUCAUGACCAUACAGUUCCCAGUCUCCCCCAGAUUGGCAGCAUGAAAAUGAAGGCAAAAUGGUCAAUUUAUAUCUCCUUCAGCCUGGUGAAAAGUUCUGAGGGGCUCAGAAGCUCACUUUUUCAUGUCAUUUCUGUCACCCAUUUGUGAUAUUACACAACCGUGCCUAUGGAGGAGACAAAAGCAGAGAGGUGCUGUUGAUGGACAACUAGAAGUACCUUUCAUGCUCAAAGAGAUAUGGAUUGGGCAGCACUUCAAAUAAAGAGUAUCUUCAGAUAGAGGUCUGUCCUGUA
rnacentral:lncRNA from 1 species